GCAGGAAGGAUGAGGAGAUGAGAGUGGCCUUCCUGCUUCUAUCACUUCCUCAAUACCGAGGUAUCUCAUUUUGGAACUGCAUUGUCCUGAACCUUAACAAGGGGAAAAUAGGGGUCACUUGUUUCAGGCUCCUAAUUUUGCAUCAUUAUAUUCCCCUGGAAAAUAAUGUGACGUCCAGCAUUUCAACCGCAUCCGAAGGCCGCAGUCACCUCUCAGGUACAAGAUACAUCAGGCUCUCUGCAGCUGAGAACAUACUCCCUUCUGUCCCCAGUAAGAGUCACCUCCAUUCAGAAAACAGUAAAUACAAGAAGGGGGCCAAUAAAAAUUAAAUUAAAACCUCAG
rnacentral:lncRNA from 1 species